rnacentral:rRNA from 1 species
UUGUAAUGUAAUGCCUACAAUGUUAAUGCACCAGAUCCCAUUAGAACUCUAGAUUUAAAUGCGCUUGGGAUAGAGUAGUACUAGGAUGGGUGACUUCCUGGGAAGUCUUAUUGUUUUACAUG